AAACCAGCACCUCAAGUGGUCAGGAUGAUUAUUGGGCCUAAAGCAUCCGUAGCCGGCUCUGUAAGUUUUCGGUUAAAUCUGUACGCUUAACGUACAGGCCGCCGGGAAUACUGCAGAGCUAGGGAGUGGGAGAGGUAGACGGUACUCGGGAGGAAGUGGUAAAAUGCUUUGAUCUCUCGAUGACCACCUGUGGCGAAGGCGGUCUACCAGAACACGUCCGACGGUGAGGGAUGAAAGCUGGGGGAGCAAACCGGAUUAGAAACCCCUGUAGUCC
rnacentral:rRNA from 1 species